GAAAUUAAAGUGCUUAUGCUUAUUUGUGGAGAUGAAAGAAGAGAUGUAACAUAGGGCUUGUCAAGGGUGGAUUGACAGCAAAUCAAAAAAUGGAUCCGGUUGACCAAGUUACUGGGGCUUCCCCUGUCUGGUGAUGGUGUGUUCCAAACCAAAACCACUUUGAUAAUGUGUUUUGAUGAGUGGUAGAAUGAUUUCAAGUCCCCGUAUGAUCUGUUAAGUAAAGGUUCCACAUGUUUUAGUGGAAAUCAAUGUAGUGGCAUCAUUAAACAGUCUGUAUACCAUUGGCAGCGGUAUAUCACGUUUGAAAGUUUUUUA